rnacentral:tmRNA from 1 species
GGGGGCGACCUGGCUUCGACGUGGGUUGCGAAACCGAAGGGGCAUGCCGAGGAUGUAGCUGACCUCGUAAAUUACGCUGCAAUAAAGUAGUCGCAAACGACGAAACUUUUGCUGGUGGUGAGGCAAUAAAAGCUGCGUAAGCAGUUUGAGCCAAAUCACACUUCGUUCUAAGAAAACGAAACAGUCCAUUGACCGAAUGUGCUUAUGCGUUCGACUCAGUGGUCAUAUUACAUAAGCUCGCAACACGUGUUCUCGACACGGCGUUGUUAAAAAAAAGAGAUCGCUCAUCGCUUUCCCUGUCGGUCGGGUAACGUUGAGUUAAAUUAAAGAUUCGACUACGCAUGUAGAACCAACGGCAGAGGAUUUGCGGACGCGGGUUCAAUUCCCGCCGCCUCCACCA